UGUGAGGUUAAGCGACUAAGCGUACACGGUGGAUGCCCUGGCAGUCAGAGGCGAUGAAGGGCGUGCUAAUCUGCGAUAAGCGCCGGUAAGGUGAUAUGAACCGUUAUAACCGGCGAUACCCGAAUGGGGAAACCCAGUGUGAUUCGUCACACUAUCAUUAACUGAAUCCAUAGGUUAAUGAGGCGAACCGGGGGAACUGAAACAUCUAAGUACCCCGAGGAAAAGAAAUCAACCGAGAUUCCCCCAGUAGCGGCGAGCGAACGGGGAGGAGCCCAGAGCCUGAAUCAGCAUGUGUGUUAGUGGAAGCGUCUGGAAAGGCGCGCGAUACAGGGUGACAGCCCCGUACACAAAAGCGCAUGUGCUGUGAGCUCGAUGAGUAGGGCGGGACACGUGGUAUCCUGUCUGAAUAUGGGGGGACCAUCCUCCAAGGCUAAAUACUCCUGACUGACCGAUAGUGAACCAGUACCGUGAGGGAAAGGCGAAAAGAACCCCGGCGAGGGGAGUGAAAAAGAACCUGAAACCGUGUACGUACAAGCAGUGGGAGCCCCACCACUAAGCCAGUGGUGAACUCCACAUACGCAUCCUUUGCUGAGGAUACGGUUAACGGAGCGAAAGCGACGUUCAACCGCAAAAGAAGCAGAGGGGGCUUAGUGGUGGGGUGACUGCGUACCUUUUGUAUAAUGGGUCAGCGACUUAUAUUCUGUAGCAAGGUUAACCGUAUAGGGGAGCCGCAGGGAAACCGAGUCUUAAUUGGGCGUUAAGUUGCAGGGUAUAGACCCGAAACCCGGUGAUCUAGCCAUGGGCAGGUUGAAGGUUGGGUAACACUAACUGGAGGACCGAACCGACUAAUGUUGAAAAAUUAGCGGAUGACCUGUGGCUGGGGGUGAAAGGCCAAUCAAACCGGGAGAUAGCUGGUUCUCCCCGAAAGCUAUUUAGGUAGCGCCUCGUGAAUUCAUCUCCGGGGGUAGAGCACUGUUUCGGCUAGGGGGCCAUCCCGGCUUACCAACCCGAUGCAAACUGCGAAUACCGGAGAAUGUUAUCACGGGAGACACACGGCGGGUGCUAACGUCCGUCGUGAAGAGGGAAACAACCCAGACCGCCAGCUAAGGUCCCAAAGUCAUGGUUAAGUGGGAAACGAUGUGGGAAGGCCCAGACAGCCAGGAUGUUGGCUUAGAAGCAGCCAUCAUUUAAAGAAAGCGUAAUAGCUCACUGGUCGAGUCGGCCUGCGCGGAAGAUGUAACGGGGCUAAACCAUGCACCGAAGCUGCGGCAGCGACGCUUAUGCGUUGCUGGGUAGGGGAGCGUUCUGUAAGCCUGCGAAGGUGGCCUGUGAGGGUUGCUGGAGGUAUCAGAAGUGCGAAUGCUGACAUAAGUAACGAUAAAGCGGGUGAAAAGCCCGCUCGCCGGAAGACCAAGGGUUCCUGUCCAACGUUAAUCGGGGCAGGGUGAGUCGACCCCUAAGGCGAGGCCGAAAGGCGUAGUCGAUGGGAAACGGGUUAAUAUUCCCGUACUUGGUGUUACUGCGAAGGGGGGACGGAGAAGGCUAUGUUGGCCGGGCGACGGUUGUCCCGGUUUAAGCGUGUAGGUGUGUGUUCCAGGUAAAUCCGGUUCACUUUAACACUGAGGCGUGACGACGAGGCACUACGGUGCUGAAGCAACAAAUGCCCUGCUUCCAGGAAAAGCCUCUAAGCAUCAGGUAACAUCAAAUCGUACCCCAAACCGACACAGGUGGUCAGGUAGAGAAUACCAAGGCGCUUGAGAGAACUCGGGUGAAGGAACUAGGCAAAAUGGUGCCGUAACUUCGGGAGAAGGCACGCUGACACGUAGGUGAAGUGAUUUACUCAUGGAGCUGAAGUCAGUCGAAGAUACCAGCUGGCUGCAACUGUUUAUUAAAAACACAGCACUGUGCAAACACGAAAGUGGACGUAUACGGUGUGACGCCUGCCCGGUGCCGGAAGGUUAAUUGAUGGGGUCAGCGCAAGCGAAGCUCCUGAUCGAAGCCCCGGUAAACGGCGGCCGUAACUAUAACGGUCCUAAGGUAGCGAAAUUCCUUGUCGGGUAAGUUCCGACCUGCACGAAUGGCGUAAUGAUGGCCAGGCUGUCUCCACCCGAGACUCAGUGAAAUUGAACUCGCUGUGAAGAUGCAGUGUACCCGCGGCAAGACGGAAAGACCCCGUGAACCUUUACUAUAGCUUGACACUGAACACUGGUCCUUGAUGUGUAGGAUAGGUGGGAGGCUUUGAAGUGUGGACGCCAGUCUGCAUGGAGCCAUCCUUGAAAUACCACCCUUUAAUGGCUGGUGUUCUAACGUAGACCCGUAAUCCGGGUUGCGGACAGUGUCUGGUGGGUAGUUUGACUGGGGCGGUCUCCUCCUAAAGAGUAACGGAGGAGCACGAAGGUUGGCUAAUCCUGGUCGGACAUCAGGAGGUUAGUGCAAUGGCAUAAGCCAGCUUGACUGCGAGCGUGACGGCGCGAGCAGGUGCGAAAGCAGGUCAUAGUGAUCCGGUGGUUCUGAAUGGAAGGGCCAUCGCUCAACGGAUAAAAGGUACUCCGGGGAUAACAGGCUGAUACCGCCCAAGAGUUCAUAUCGACGGCGGUGUUUGGCACCUCGAUGUCGGCUCAUCACAUCCUGGGGCUGAAGUAGGUCCCAAGGGUAUGGCUGUUCGCCAUUUAAAGUGGUACGCGAGCUGGGUUUAGAACGUCGUGAGACAGUUCGGUCCCUAUCUGCCGUGGGCGCUGGAGAACUGAGGGGGGCUGCUCCUAGUACGAGAGGACCGGAGUGGACGCAUCACUGGUGUUCGGGUUGUCAUGCCAAUGGCACUGCCCGGUAGCUAAAUGCGGAAGAGAUAAGUGCUGAAAGCAUCUAAGCACGAAACUUGCCCCGAGAUGAGUUCUCCCUGAGACUUAGAGUCUCCUGAAGGAACGUUGAAGACGACGACGUUGAUAGGCCGGGUGUGUAAGCGCAGCGAUGCGUUGAGCUAACCGGUACUAAUGAACCGUGAGGCUUAACC
rnacentral:rRNA from 1 species